rnacentral:lncRNA from 1 species
AUGCCAUUGUUGUCUUAUGAACCUAUUGCUACAUAACAAACUGCCCAAAACUUGGUGGUUUAAAGCAGCAACCAUAUAUUGGGCUCACAGGUCUCUGGGUCAACAAUACGGGCUGUGUGCAACUGGUCUCUCUCACAUGUCUGUGGUCAGCUUCCUUCCACGGAGUCCAAUGUCUUGGGUCAUUGGCUGGUGGUUGGCUGGGGCCACCUCCUUCUCACCCUCCAGCAGACUGGUCCAGGCUUGUUCCUAUGGAGACUGGCAGGGUUCUAACAGUGUGAUUAGAGAAGCUGCAAAACCUCUUGAUGCCCCAGGCUCAGAGCUGAUGCGACGUCAUUUCGGCCACAUCCUAUUGGCCAGAACCUGUCACAAGGCCCUGCCCAGGCUCAAAGGGUAAGGAAAUAGACCCAGCCACUGAUGAGAGAGACCACAUUCCAACCAAGGAUGCCCACAGAAUGGGGUGGAUAAUAUUAGCAAACAUCUACGAUUAUAUCUCCAAUAAUUCUGGGAAUGAGGAAAACGAAGUUCAACAUGUUCUUAUAAAUCCCUCUGUAGGUUGCAGAUGUGUUCGAGUGCAUUGUGUGUGGUGUCCUGACAAAGCCCUUUUGGUUUUGUGUGUCACAAGGGCUUGGGGCGCUGAGAAUCAGCCUUGGGGACCACCGCUCUCCCGCUUCGAAUUCCCAGCCGGAAUAAAGGAAGGCAUCUGUUUUCAUAAUUUAGGGGAUAAAGUGCCAUCGCUAGGGCAGACAUUUUUGUGGGGAAGGUUGUCUUGUUUUAUAGGAGGGUUGACAGGGGAAAUUAAGCCCCAUUUAGUCCCUCGACCUUUGGUUUCCAAACUGGAAAGAGCACAGUGUGUGUUCCAAUAGCCUCCCUGAAGUCAUUAUUGCUUCAGAGCCAGCUGAAUUGCUUGAUAAUAGCGAUUCUUUGCACUUGUAGAAUGUGUUUCCUCUGAGGAGGGCCAAGUAAUUUACAAUCACUUAUUAAUUAAUCCUCAGUCCCCUGCAUGAGAUGCGGCUGCGAUGCGGCUGCGUCAUUGUGUAUCUUUGACAGAUGUGUGAAGUGGCCAAAGGGAGACAAAGCGACAUUAAGCCUCUGCCCAAGGUCACUUGUCUAACUCACUGGACACCGUCCCAGCUCCACCAGCCUCCCCAUCCGCCCUGCAAGCCUUUCCCACAGAAGCGCUGGAAUUUCUCGGGGCUGGUUCCAGCCAUUGCAGAAAGCCUGACUUUUUCAGAUCAAACGUGAGGAUUUUGUUGUUCCAUUUUGGGAGGGGGUGGGAUGGGUGGUUCAUUUCUCACUGUUCUGUUUUUGGUUCUGGUGUUGAUGUGCACAGCUUUAGACCUGCCGCGUAGAUGUCCAAGAAGAGCUGGUUCAAAAAGCGUGGCUUUUGCAUUUUGUUCAGGCACAUCACUUACUGGGGAAAGCAUUCUCCCAGCUGAAAGAGGAAGCACUUCCAGCUCACAGAAUGUGAAAGGGGGCUUGAGAGAGAAGGAGGGGAGUGCGUGUUGCCUCCACCAGUGACUUGUAUUUUCGCAGCAACGUCCAAUUAGGAGAUAAAUGCCAAUUUGCUUUUCUAAACCGAUUGUACUCACACCAACACUCAGAAAACGGGAGCCCACUUCGCUUAGCAGAGGAACACAUCCACAGAAAAAGCUACCGGCUACAGAAGAGUCUUUGAGCUGACUUUCAGGCAUCCUUUCCAAUUUAUUUUCAAAAGGAUCUCUUACCUAAGUAUGUGUUUUUUCCCACACAUACAAACGAAACCAGCCAGAGUGGGUUUGUUUUUGUACAGAGAAGCAAGAACCUGUCAAAUCGAAAGAAGAGCUUACUCGGUACAUUGGAGACUCAGAAAGUGUGAGGCAGAUACUUCAGUAAUGAGGCAAUGAGAGCCACAGCCAGCCUUGGGAGCUGUACCAGAUGUGCUGCAGUCACAGCUGGCACGUGAGAAAAGACAGCUGGAAGGACAUGAAAAGCCAGGGGCCACAAAGGAGUAAUUAAGCAAGGUGACUUCCAGGCUCAGUGCAAUAGACGAAAGCCUUGUCAUGUUUGAACUUUGAGGAAUACUCUUUGCAUAGGAUCCAGUCAAAGUUAUGCCAACUGGUGGAGCUCCCUCCCUCCCUUCCUCCCUUCUCUCCUUUACCAAAUGUUUAUUGAGCAUUUCUUUUGUUGAAAGCCAUGUUCUGGGACUCUGGAGGGAGGUACUCAAAGCCAGCAGCCCACAGUGGAACCUUCAGUGACUUAAUUUUCUUGUACUUUCUCCCCCUCCCACACUGCCCCCUGCAGGCCCGUGUGCCAUUGUGUUCCGCUGGGUAUAGUAUCCCUCCCAUUCCUGGUGGACUAGGAUGGAAAGGAGAACUCUGUUCUAGGAAACCAUCUAAUAAGGUUUCCAGGAAAACCCAAAUUCUCCAGGUCUCAAAGGAAGGAGGCAUGAUGGCAGAGUUCCACUUAGCAAGCUUGCCCUUGUGGGACAGAAGCGGUGUCACCCAUGCACCCUCGUCGCUGUAAGAGCCUCUCAGAGUGGGGCCUGGGGAGUCUGACUUUGAGAAAGUCAUGGUGUCUGGGGACUGGCCUGCACUUACAGCUACAGGUCUCCUAUCAAGAGGUUCCUAUGAGACCCCAGCACAUUGUCAUAUUGCUCUCAUUUCUCUCUUCUUUUUUGUCCCUGGGUCCUGAGAUCAAUCUGAACGACUGGUGAAUGGAUAUCCUUACCUGUGUUUUAACUAAUUGCUCAUUAUUGAGUGAAAUGUAGUAUCUUCCUUCCCAUCAGCCCUCACCUCCUAAAUUCUCUUGAUUACAUUCCAAAGCCAUGUUCAGCUAGUUCCAACCUCAUCUCCACGCCUGCGUGACCCUGGGUGGGAGAUUUAACUUCUGGAUCUCAGCCCUUGCUUCUGCUAUCUGUUUUACAGGGUCACUAUUAAAAAGAACUAAAAUCACCUCGGCAUUUGGCACUGAGUCCACAGAAAGUAGGUAAAUGUUCAUUCUUUUCACUGCCCCCCUCCAAUCUCUUCCCCUCUGUUUCCAUGAAGUUUGCUCAAUUAUAUUUGACUUAGGUGAUGGGCUGCUUUGUAUAAAAGUUGGUGACAACUAGCCCUUUAAAGUGAUGGUGAGGAGUUCCUGUAGUGGCUCGGUGGUUAACAAAUCCGACUAGGAACCAUGAGGUUGCAGGUUCGAUUCCUGGCCUUGCUCUGUGGGUUAAGGAUCUGGCAUUGCCGUGAGCUGUGGUGUAGGUCGCAGAUGCAGCUUGGAUCCCGUAUUGCCGUGGCUCUGGCAGAGGCCAGUGGCUACAGCUCUGAUUCUAUCCCUAGCCUGGGAACCUCCGUAUGCUGUGGGAGUGGCCCUAGAAAAGGCAAAAAGACAAAAAAAAAAAAAAACCUUGGGGGGGGCUGCAAAGUGGGGAUAAGACAGGAAUCAUACUUGAUUUGCAUGUGCUCGUUCACCAGGGAGUUGCAAACAGUCAUUAUUUAUUAUCAGAUUCUAUCAUUUCAAAUAUUUACAAAGCAUUUAUCAAAUCAACACAACCAUGUUUCAGAAUAAAGUCAUCUUUCAGAAAUUUACCAUAGAAGAGAGUCACUGUAUUUCAGGAGACAAAAGGAAAUGAUAGAUGAUGAUAAACCAAGUUGCUACCCAAAGGGGAUAUAAAUAUGAUACAAAAGAACCCCAGAGAAUAAACAUGUGAUGUUGGUAAAGGAUUUGCUUGCUUUGGGUAGAUCCUUGAGUGACUGCCAACAUCCAUCUAUGCACAAACUAAUAAAAUAUGUACACAUAAAGUGCAAAGUUUGGCAGACAUCUGUGAAAUAGCAGCUAGUGGAUAAUGAGUUAACACAUGCUCUGGAGAAAACCUCAUUUUUCUGACCUAUUUGUCAAUGAAGGAUAACAAAGAAGAUCCUACAAGAAGCAAAGAGAAAUUCUACCUCUUACCAAAAUCAUCUAUUGCCUGGUCUAUAGCACCACCAGGCACCUAAGCCACAAAAGCACCCGAGUAGGACCAGCCACCCCUAAACUGGCCAUUGCCCCCUUCCUGGGACCAGCUGGAACAAACCCAGAAGCAAAUCUUCAGAUAGCCUCCUGCUUUGAGCCCUGCUCAGCACAACAAUAUUUCUGUAAUUCCACGCUCUUAGGGAAAGAAAUGUAUCUUCACCUGCAUUUUAUUUUGAACCAAAUACACUUUGGGAAAAUCCAAAAGAAAGGGUUAUUCCCUGCCUCCCCCUUCCCUAAGCAAUGUCUCACAGCUUAAUUAAAGACAGUCAUGACUCUAGGGACAGAAAACAGGUUCACAUUCUAAACCAGCUAUAGCAUAACAUGUUCCCUCCGCAAGCAGGAAUCAGGAAAAACAGAGAGAGCGCAAGCCUGGCCUUCUGAAGGUCACCACACCAAGGGAAGUUGAUGCAACUCACCUCCAAUUUUAAAAAGAGGCAGAAAAAACCAGAAGCAGCAGUUGCUGGUCCACUGAGCUGUAUUGGUACUUGGUCAGGGAGACAGGCCUGCAAAGAUUAUGAAGGUCCCACAUUAGCAAUACACAACAUAGGCAGAGCAAACCAAACAGGGCUUGCUGGUGUGCUGACUGGGACACACACACUCAUCAGAUACACUUUCUUUAAAGAGAUGUCCACAGGAGUUCCUGUUGUGGUACAACAGAAAUGAACCACACUAGUAUCCAUGAGGACUCAAUCCCUGGCCUUGCUCAGUGGGUUACGGAUCAGGCGUUGCCGUGAGCUGCGGUGUGGGUCACAGACGUGGGUAGGAUCUGGUGUUGCUGUGGCCAUGGUAUAGGCCAGCAGCUUUAGCUCAGAUUCAACCUCUAGCCUGGGAACCUCCAUAUGCCACAGGUAUGGCCUUUAAAAAAAAAGAGAGAGAGGUGUCCCCAAAUGAAAAACACUGAUUUCUCUCAGCAAAUUUGAACUUCUCUAACCUUCUGCUCUGAAGGCACUGUGGGACAAAUCUGAGCAAGCCCACACUUCCUUUCACUAAGUGGGACAUGCCAUCUUCUGACAGGAAGACUUUCUCAUGCUUUCCAAAACAAUAGAUGAUGGCAUGGUUACGGCUUGAGGUAUCAGGCACAGAGUCAGAAUCCCUAAACCUCUCCGUGCUGUCUAUCCCUGAUUAUAAUCGGGUAAGA